rnacentral:rRNA from 1 species
CCUACGGGAGGCAGCAGUAGGGAAUCUUCCACAAUGGACGAAAGUCUGAUGGAGCAACGCCGCGUGAGUGAAGAAGGGUUUCGGCUCGUAAAGCUCUGUUGGUAGUGAAGAAAGAUAGAGGUAGUAACUGGCCUUUAUUUGACGGUAAUUACUUAGAAAGUCACGGCUAACUACGUGCCAGCAGCCGCGGUAAUACGUAGGUGGCAAGCGUUGUCCGGAUUUAUUGGGCGUAAAGCGGGUGCAGGCGGUUCAAUAAGUCUGAUGUGAAAGCCCUCGGCUCAACCGGGGAAUUGCAUCAGAAACUGGUGAACUGGAGUGCAGAAGAGGAGAGUGGAACUCCAUGUGUAGCGGUGGAAUGCGUAGAUAUAUGGAAGAACACCAGUGGCGAAGGCGGCUCUCUGGUCUGCAACUGACGCUGAGGCUCGAAAGCAUGGGUAGCGAACAGGAUUAGAUACCCCAGUAGUC